ACAAGUGUGAUUCCACAAACUGUACUUUCAUAAAUUGAAGCGGAACCAGAAAUAAAUCUUAUAUGACGACUCAGCAUUUCCAUUGAAACCCAAAUACAAUCGUCGAAGUAUGUCACUUAAUUGCGGUCAUAUAACUAAUUUCAACAGAGUAAGGGAGUCAAAUGAGCUUUUAAGAAGAAGAAUAUUUACACGUGUACGGCUUUUGAGUGAGUACCUUUUGAAAAAAAAAGUUGCUUUCAUUCGUUGCUUUUGAGGUCAGAACCCAAAUCCGAAAGAUCUUUUCGAAAAAAAGGCGUUGACAAAAGAGGA